rnacentral:rRNA from 1 species
UACGUAGGCAGCAAGCGUUGUUCGGAAUUACUGGGCGUAAAGAGUGUGUAGGCGGUGCUCUAAGUUCGGUGUGAAAUCUCCCGGCUUAACUGGGAGGGUGCGCCGGAAACUGGAGUGCUCGAGCGUGAGAGAGGAAAGCGGAAUUCCUGGUGUAGCGGUGAAAUGCGUAGAUAUCAGGAGGAACACCGGUGGCGAAGGCGGGUCUCUGGGCCGAUACUGACACUGAGAAGCGAAAGCGUGGGGAGCGAACAGG